rnacentral:lncRNA from 1 species
CAGGCCCAGAGUGCAGUUGGGGGGCCCUCACUGUAUGCUGAGGGGAAAGCCCUUGUGCGGAGGAGGUGAGCCAGCAUCCUCCUAGGGAGCAGGGCAGGGGAUUCCUGCUCGUGACAGCAGCUGGGGGAGCAUGCAGACCCCUGGAAUGUGCAAAGCGUGUGUGCGUGGGUCCAUGUGGGUGUGCGUUCUCUAGUCAAUAGGUAACAAAUGCACAGAGAUGCUCAGGUAGGGUCUCUAGGGUGUUUAGAUAUGAGGAAUGGAACUUCCUCCUCGAACGCUCCAGGAGCUCUCAUCCACCUUCUGACGCCGAGUCAAGACUUGGCUAUUCCCAGAAGAUGAGACCAUGUGGAACGGAGGCAGCCCCGAUAACCCUUUAUCCUAUUUCUCUCAUCCCACUGGUGAUCUCCCAAAGUAUUCCACUGUCUCUAAUCUAUAGCCCAGUGCUUGGGCGAGCGUGCUGAUUCUGCCUGGAGAGACGCACAGGAACGCCCCUCACCACAGGUACAUCAGGAUGAAGGUGCGCUUCCUCAGGCGCGGCGUGCGGAACAGGUCUGCAAAUGAAGGGCUCAGCUUUUCGGUGACAUCCUCUUCGAGGGAAAGCAUCUAGGAGGGAGGGAGAGCAUCAGCCACACUCACGCUGUCAUGAGCAGAGCCACCUGGGAGCCCCUGGGGAGCCACCGAGGGGACUCCGGCACACACCUGCGAACACCACUCAUCACUAUCUGGCAUUUUCCUCGGUCUGACGUUCAGCCCUGAGCGGGGUGAUGCUGUUGCUCAGUGCAGCCUGCCCUCCCCACGUUGGGGCUGUAAUCCCUCAAGAGGAUGAGGACCUGGGGUCACUGUGCGCUAGCCCAUGUGGCCCAGGUCACAGCUCUGUGGGUCACUCAGACUCCUAGUGUCACCUAAGAUUUAUAGACCAAAAGGGAGCCAUCGCUUCCUAUGUAGCCUUCCUUCUGUGCAGCAGGGGCCUCAUCUCUCCUGGGGCAGCCUUUGUCCCCCACGGAAAACACUCACAGAGCAGAUGCUCCAUGUAUAUUACCCGAUGACACCAGGACAUCUCCAGGCAAUACAAGGGCUGUUGAACACUUCUCAAAAUAUUUCUCAAACAAAAUAAAAUGUAUUUACUGUCCUUUAAAAUCAAAU